CAAACGGAAGGAAGGUGGGGAGUGACGUCAAAUCAUCAUGCCCCUUAUGUUCUGGGCUACACACGUGCUACAAUGGCCGGUACAGACGGACGCAAAGCCGCGAGGUGGAGCAAAUCCUAAAAAGCCGGUCUCAGUUCGGAUUGCAGGCUGCAAUUCGCCUGCAUGAAGUCGGAAUCGCUAGUAAUCGCAGGUCAGCUAUACUGCGUUGAAUACGUUCCCGGGGCUU
rnacentral:rRNA from 1 species